GCGGUUUAGUAAGUCAGUGGUGAAAGCCCAUCGCUCAACGGUGGAACGGCCAUUGAUACUGCUGAACUUGAAUUAUUAGGAAGUAACUAGAAUAUGUAGUGUAGCGGUGAAAUGCUUAGAGAUUACAUGGAAUACCAAUUGCGAAGGCAGGUUACUACUAAUGGAUUGACGCUGAUGGACGAAAGCGUGGGUAGCGAACAGGAUUAGAUACCCUGGUAGUCCACGCCGUAAACGAUGGAUACUAGCUGUUGGAAGCAAUUUCAGUGGCUAAGCGAAAGUGAUAAGUAUCCCACCUGGGGAGUACGUUCGCAAGAAUGAAACUCAAAGGAAUUGACGGGGGCCCGCACAAGCGGUGGAUUAUGUGGUUUAAUUCGAUGAUACGCGAGGAACCUUACCAAGGCUUAAAUGGGAAUUGACAGGUUUAGAAAUAGACUUGACAAUUUUCAAGGUGCUGCA
rnacentral:rRNA from 1 species